rnacentral:rRNA from 1 species
AGAGUUUGAUCCUGGCUCAGGACGAACGCUGGCGGCGUGCCUAAUACAUGCAAGUCGAGCGAGCGAAACUAACAGAUUUACUUCGGUAAUGACGUUAGGAAAGCGAGCGGCGGAUGGGUGAGUAACACGUGGGGAACCUGCCCCAUAGUCUGGGAUACCACUUGGAAACAGGUGCUAAUACCGGAUAAGAAAGCAGAUCGCAUGAUCAGCUUUUAAAAGGCGGCGUAAGCUGUCGCUAUGGGAUGGCCCCGCGGUGCAUUAGCUAGUUGGUAAGGUAAAGGCUUACCAAGGCGAUGAUGCAUAGCCGAGUUGAGAGACUGAUCGGCCACAUUGGGACUGAGACACGGCCCAAACUCCUACGGGAGGCAGCAGUAGGGAAUCUUCCACAAUGGACGCAAGUCUGAUGGAGCAACGCCGCGUGAGUGAAGAAGGUUUUCGGAUCGUAAAGCUCUGUUGUUGGUGAAGAAGGAUAGAGGUAGUAACUGGCCUUUAUUUGACGGUAAUCAACCAGAAAGUCACGGCUAACUACGUGCCAGCAGCCGCGGUAAUACGUAGGUGGCAAGCGUUGUCCGGAUUUAUUGGGCGUAAAGCGAGCGCAGGCGGAAGAAUAAGUCUGAUGUGAAAGCCCUCGGCUUAACCGAGGAACUGCAUCGGAAACUGUUUUUCUUGAGUGCAGAAGAGGAGAGUGGAACUCCAUGUGUAGCGGUGGAAUGCGUAGAUAUAUGGAAGAACACCAGUGGCGAAGGCGGCUCUCUGGUCUGCAACUGACGCUGAGGCUCGAAAGCAUGGGUAGCGAACAGGAUUAGAUACCCUGGUAGUCCAUGCCGUAAACGAUGAGUGCUAAGUGUUGGGAGGUUUCCGCCUCUCAGUGCUGCAGCUAACGCAUUAAGCACUCCGCCUGGGGAGUACGACCGCAAGGUUGAAACUCAAAGGAAUUGACGGGGGCCCGCACAAGCGGUGGAGCAUGUGGUUUAAUUCGAU